UAGGGAAUCUUCGGCAAUGGGGGCAACCCUGACCGAGCAACGCCGCGUGAGUGAAGAAGGUUUUCGGAUCGUAAAGCUCUGUUGUAAGAGAAGAACGUGUGUGAGAGUGGAAAGUUCACACAGUGACGGUAACUUACCAGAAAGUGACGGCUAACUACGUGCCAGCAGCCGCUGUAAUACGUAGGUCCCGAGCGUUGUCCGGAUUUAUUGGGCGUAAAGCGAGCGCAGGCGGUUUAAUAAGUCUGAAGUUAAAGGCAGUGGCUUAACCAUUGUUCGCUUUGGAAACUGUUAAACUUGAGUGCAGAAGGGGAGAGUGGAAUUCCAUGUGUAGCGGUGAAAUGCGUAGAUAUAUGGAGGAACACCGGUGGCGAAAGCGGCUCUCUGGUCUGUAACUGACGCUGAGGCUCGAAAGCGUGGGGAGCAAACAGG
rnacentral:rRNA from 1 species